rnacentral:rRNA from 1 species
GAUGAACGCUGGCGACGUGCCUAAUACAUGCAAGUCGAGCGAACGGACGAGAAGCUUGCUUCUCUGAUGUUAGCGGCGGACGGGUGAGUAACACGUGGAUAACCUACCUAUAAGACUGGGAUAACUUCGGGAAACCGGAGCUAAUACCGGAUAAUAUUUUGAACCGCAUGGUUCAAAAGUGAAAGACGGUCUUGCUGUCACUUAUAGAUGGAUCCGCGCUGCAUUAGCUAGUUGGUAAGGUAACGGCUUACCAAGGCAACGAUGCAUAGCCGACCUGAGAGGGUGAUCGGCCACACUGGAACUGAGACACGGUCCAGACUCCUACGGGAGGCAGCAGUAGGGAAUCUUCCGCAAUGGGCGAAAGCCUGACGGAGCAACGCCGCGUGAGUGAUGAAGGUCUUCGGAUCGUAAAACUCUGUUAUUAGGGAAGAACAUAUGUGUAAGUAACUGUGCACAUCUUGACGGUACCUAAUCAGAAAGCCACGGCUAACUACGUGCCAGCAGCCGCGGUAAUACGUAGGUGGCAAGCGUUAUCCGGAAUUAUUGGGCGUAAAGCGCGCGUAGGCAGUUUUUUAAGUCUGAUGUGAAAGCCCACGGCUCAACCGUGGAGGGUCAUUGGAAACUGGAAAACUUGAGUGCAGAAGAGGAAAGUGGAAUUCCAUGUGUAGCGGUGAAAUGCGCAGAGAUAUGGAGGAACACCAGUGGCGAAGGCGACUUUCUGGUCUGUAACUGACGCUGAUGUGCGAAAGCGUGGGGAUCAAACAGGAUUAGAUACCCUGGUAGUCCACGCCGUAAACGAUGAGUGCUAAGUGUUAGGGGGUUUCCGCCCCUUAGUGCUGCAGCUAACGCACUAAGCACUCCGCCUGGGGAGUACGACCGCAAGGUUGAAACUCAAAGGAAUUGACGGGGACCCGCACAAGCGGUGGAGCAUGUGGUUUAAUUCGAAGCAACGCGAAGAACCUUACCAAAUCUUGACAUCCUUUGACAACUCUAGAGAUAGAGCCUUCCCCUUCGGGGGGGGCAAAGUGACAGGUGGUGCAUGGUUGUCGUCAGCUCGUGUCGUGAGAUGUUGGGUUAAGUCCCGCAACGAGCGCAACCCUUAAGCUUAGUUGCCAUCAUUAAGUUGGGCACUCUAAGUUGACUGCCGGUGACAAACCGGAGGAAGGUGGGGAUGACGUCAAAUCAUCAUGCCCCUUAUGAUUUGGGCUACACACGUGCUACAAUGGACAAUACAAAGGGCAGCGAAACCGCGAGGUCAAGCAAAUCCCAUAAAGUUGUUCUCAGUUCGGAUUGUAGUCUGCAACUCGACUACAUGAAGCUGGAAUCGCUAGUAAUCGUAGAUCAGCAUGCUACGGUGAAUACGUUCCCGGGUCU